rnacentral:rRNA from 1 species
UACGUAGGGCGCAAGCGUUAUCCGGAAUUAUUGGGCGUAAAGAGCUCGUAGGCGGUUUGUCGCGUCUGCCGUGAAAGUCCGGGCUCAACUCCGGAUCUGCGGUGGUACGGGCAGACUAGAGUGAUGUAGGGGAGACUGGAAUUCCUGGUGUAGCGGUGAAAUGCGCAGAUAUCAGGAGGAACACCGAUGGCGAAGGCAGGUCUCUGGGCAUUAACUGACGCUGAGGAGCGAAAGCGUGGGGAGCGAACAGG